GGCCGCAAUAUUGGAUUUUCCAAAAUGGCCGCCAAAAUAGGGGGAUAUUCGACAUUAUCUCGACUUCUAAACGCUUGAAAUAACCUAGAAUACUAGUUUUUGCACCUUAACCACCAUUUCUGACGACAAGGAUUCUAGUGGUAUCAAAAUAGUCAACAUGCAGUUUUGGAGAAAAAAUAUAAUUUCAUUUUAAUUUUCUGUUUUUCCUAUAAGAAUUCCAGGACUUGAAAUAACGUUAAAAUUCAAAUAAUGAUGUGUUGCAAAUGAUUCCACCAAAACUUUGCCUUUCAAUGAGUGACAUGUUACACUAUACCGCCCACAAUAAUGACUCUGUGAUUACGUGCACUGGUGCGAAAAACGAGCAAACAAUGGCGGGAAAUUUUGAAUAGCUGAUGGGCAGGUGAAUUCGAACGACAGGAAUGCCAGUUACAACAAAAGAAGCUUUAUCUUCUUAUUCCGCUUUAAUCGGAGAUCGGCAUCGUAUAAAACAGCAUGUUGGAUUCGUCCAUCACGUAGUUAUUGUUGAUGACAAUCAUACAUAUUCAAUUCAUUGAGGAGGACAGGGAAGAAGUGUCACAUGGAUUUCAAAACAACAGUGUAUUUCCAUGUUACCACUGAUAGCAUACUGAAAAAGGGAGAUAAACAGAGCUUGGAAUGUGUACCGCUAAACAUAAUUAUGUAGCUGUUGUUCUUCAACAUGCCGUAGAGGUUCAUGAUAGGAAUGAUGUCUUACCAAUUAAGGCGCCAUAACGACAGCAGAUCGACUUUAAACAUCGGAUAUAGGACUGGUACUUGUGUAAUAGCACAUCCGACAGAAAAUUGGAUAUUCACGUGAGAGAAAAUGAUACAUAUUUUAGAAAUUGAUUUCAAACACCAGUUUGGUGAUGACCGGUGUGAUUGGGCUGAACUUUGACUUCAAUCUAACUGCCUUUAGAGCGCAUGGUGUCUUCAUUUAGGCAUAAUACUGGAUGCAACCGAUACAGGAUAAAUACACGGCGAAACGUCCAUACGGCUUGCAUCUUUAGCUCCAUGCUGCGACAUGGAUCACAAUAUACUCCAAUAUGUUUAAUGCAAGAGCGUACGAAUUAACCUGGUAUCGACCAAGACUUGUAUCACAUUGAAUACGAUUGAUUACCAACUAAUCCAUGUACAUCUGAGCCUCAAUUAUGUCAAUUGUCAAGUGGAAUAUGGCCUUCGCUCGUGUAUGCAAUCACCAUCCAUGCGACCAUGGACCUGCGAGCUGCUCAACGAGGGAUAGAAGAGGUAAUUAUCAGGAGCUAGGUUAUAUGGCGGGUCAGGUGGACAAGAUGAUGUUGCUUGGAAGGCAUCCGCAUGUGGUUAUCUCACGGUGAGAAUGAGGUCUGACGUAACUGUUGAACGGCUAAUCCGAUUUCCCACUUGAGAUGAGCCAGUUAUGCCAGGAGGAGGAAUAGGGUCUGGGCAGUGAACUUUGGUUGAGGAAUAUACCAAGACGAUACCAUGGUUAUACCAAGUUCACCCGAAGCAGUCUCAUCAUGAUGAGGGGUGUCAUGGAUCCAGUUGGUCAUCCGCGGCCUGCCCGAGCCCGAGUGAUCACUUAACGUUACAUAACGGGAAUGUUCUCGAGCUCGGGGACGUUAAAAAAAGAAGCUUUGUACAAUAUACAAGAUUUGUUGAUCAAAACAUGUCAACCAAAAUCAUGUCGCCUUCCACGCAUGGGACAACGUUACGAAUUUCAAUCAUUAAACGAUAUAUCUAGUGGCGUUAUCCCGGGGGCGUUAUUCAGAUAAAAUGACGUAAAGGACGAGGUAACACAACCUCCGUCUCACCUUGCUUGCGGGAAAAUUUACAUUACCUGUAGACAGGGCCUAUAAAUGCUCGAAGUGAAUUCUGUUUAGGUAUUUAUCGUUCUUGAGGAAAUUCCCGUGCUGUAUAUGCCGUGUAUAUGUAAUUCUCGCUCCGCGUUGUACAGAGGGGUUCAAGAACACAGUAUUGAAAAUGCUCAUCAAAAUAAUGACUGACAAUUAAAGAACAGCUGCUGUGAGGAAUUAUUGUCUAAAAUUGGUGAACCGGAACAGCAGUUUCGUACUAAUUUUCGGAGCUGACGAAAAAUUGGAAAUAUGUCGUUUGUCCAGAGUCUAGGACGAAACUGCUGUUUUGAUCCAGUAAUUUUCGACAAAGACUUCUUGGCUGUUCGUUCUCAUGAAGGGCAUUUGACAACACAUUUUCUCUGUUCCUGAAUCCUCCAUAGUACGUCGCGGAGCUCACUCACUCAUGUCUCAAAGUCGGUGAAAUAACACAUAGUCAUCACAGUGUGUUAUAGUCAACAUUCAUAAUCAUAGUCAGUUGUAUGAAUACAUGUUGUAAUAUAGUCAACACAUUCUGUAUGAACAAGGUGUGUCCACAGUAUGGGUGUAUCACAGAUUAAUGACACAGAGAGAAACGGUUCGCCCUGCUUGACGUAACUUCUUCGCUGAUGUGACGAAAAUACACUGCUCGGCACAUACUCGGCCCAUUUAAAAAACAAGUCACCCCAUUUGAAUUGAAUAAAAAGAGAAAAAUCCAACAAGCAUAACACUGAUAAAAAAAAUUCAUCAAAAUCGAAUGUAAAUUAAGAAAGUUAUGACAUUUUCAAAUUUCGCUUGAUUUCACAAAAAGGUUAUAUGCACAUCCUGGUCAGUAUGCAAAUGAGGGGACUGAUGACAUCAUCCAUUUACUAUUUCUUUUGUAUUAUAUAAAAUAUGAAAUAUUCUAGUCCGCAUCUUUCAGUGAAACAAAGUUUGAUUCCUCCCUGAACAUAUGGCAUUACCAUUGUUAUAACAUGUUAUGGUUCAGUAUAAGUUGGUCCUUAAUGUCAAAUUGGUAAAAAAAAAAAUGAAACAUUGUAUAAUUCAAACAAUAAAAAAAAAAGAAAUAGUGAGUGAGGGACAUCAUCGUCUGUCUCAUUUGCAUGUCACCGAGUUGUGCAAACUGUUUUGUGAAAAAUAAGCGAAACUUCAAAAUUUCUUAAUGUUCUUAUUUUGCAUCCGAUUUUUAUCAAAUUUCAGCAUUAUAUGUUUGAUUUUUCUCUAUUUAUUCAAACCAACAUUUUUCUGGGGUGGACUUCACCUUUAAUGAAACUUGCAACUUUGAGAAAUUCAUCUGUUACAAUGUGUUAAUUCACACAAUCCGUGGAGAUAAGAACCAAUGGAGAUAAGAACCAAUCACUUAAAUCUAUUCGAAAAGAGUUCAAAUCAUACAUAAAAUUAGUAUGAAGGUGUGUUUUAAAACAUAAAGUUGGUGCAAAGUGUUAAUACUUUACAUAAAACAUACCAAAAGUAUUUUGACCAAUUUAGUUAUUUUGACCACCUUAAUCACGUGCUAAAUGUCUGUGCCGGAGUCUAUGAAAACUAUACAUAUACAGUGUAUGUCAAUAAAACCGUUACUGGUAAAAGCUGUCAAAAUUCUGUUUAUAAGUAUAAAGGAGUUUUAAAAAAAAUAUGUGUUGCAAGUUCAAGAUUGCGAUGGUUUCUUUGGUGAUUAUUGCGGGGAUUAUUGUUAGAUAUGUGCACGUUUGAAGACUUUCUGAUGUAGAGUAAUGUGAUCAUUCUAUAUACAUCAGGGCCUCGUCUUACAAAGAGUUACGACUUGAUCCGAUCAAUAUCAAGUAUAUGAAAAUCCAUCAAUGUCAUGGUUUUUCCUUCAGGAAAUUUUCCUCAAUGUCCUUGAAAACAAAGAGAAGCAUACUGAAUUGUCAAGAAAAAAAACAGUGAAUGUAUAAAUAUACGUCAUUUCUAGAAAAUCUUUUGAACAAACAUGUAUUUUAUAUGUUGACUUUGCUGGCUUUCCAUAGUUGCGAUUGAUCGGACCAAUCGCAAAUUCUUUGUAAGAUGGGCCCCUGAUCUCAAUUAAUGAUCCUAUUUAUGAGCUUGUGAUAAAUUUUGAUCACUGUUGAUCAGCACAAUGACCAUUUACACCAUUCUUAUUUAUCCGAAGAGAAUGAUAAUCGUUAUAAGGUUUUGCUUAUUUCUGUUAAGUGUUUAUUAAGGGUUGAUGUACAAUCAGGGUAUGUUUUAAAGGGGGCAUUAUGUGCAUCAUAAAACAUAUAUGUGAACUGUAAUUUCAAAUCUAUGAUGGCAAUCUAUUAGGCACUACUGAAACUUUGAUCAAACUACAAGAGAAAAAAUACUAAGAUACACGUUUACUUCUCAAAAUUUACCAUAUCUGGCAUGUUAGGGCAAAAAAAUAAAUACUGCCCCAUUUCGUGUUUUUCUUCUUUCAAUGUCGAGCCCUCUCACCUUAAAUAUUAGCAAUCUUUAGAAGUGUUUACCAAUCAGUAUUAAUAAUUUAAACGCAGUUGUUUAAAAAAGUUGAAAACCCCCAAAGCUACAGAUAUGUGAUUUUCGUGACUAUCAACCCAAAGUAUAGGGUGCCAGUUUUAUCCAAAAGAAUCCCCUCCAAAUUUGGCGUUUUUAUACAUCGUUAAACAUGACUUGAAUAACGUCUUUGUCUUUGAGGAAAAUGCAACAAACUUAAAAUGUUUACUUCGCACGCAUCCUCUUCUAUUCAGACAGUCCACAUUCCAAGGAAUUGUCAAAUCAAUUUCUGUCCAAAAGUACCCUCUCCGAAAAGCAAUCUGAAAAGAGACGGAUGUAUGCCCUUAUUGUAAAAUAACCCUAAAUACUUUCCAUGUAACAUUGUUGAAUGUAUUUUGAUCCAUUUUGGUCAUUUUAGCCUCGACCAUGUACACUUGUGUCCACUACAGUGUGUAUCCCCCAAAACGUUAAAUUGUGGAAAACUAUUUUUCUGAAUAAGAGUGAGAUUUUUUGGUAUUGAUAGAUGCUCUAAAGUCUUCGAUUUCAGAUGACUUUUCGUCCAGGAGGUAAAAAAAAACGGCUUGCGCCAAAAUAAUGGACAUAAUUUCAAGCAGUACUCACAAUCGAACAAUCGCUCAUUGCAUACAUGUAUGUGGUUAUGUGUGAUGUAAUUGUGGAUUCCAUUGAAAAGGUUAGGUGUAAUAACAUCGUCACUGUUUUUUAAAGCAAGAGCUUGACCAAACUCCCUGCUUGAAGUACAAAAAAUAAGUUGUUAGGCACAUCGAAAUAUCAAUGAUUUAGCUGUUACAACCAAAGAAUAGUUCUAAAUUAUAAUUCUUUUUCAUGUGAAUAAUUGCUCGAUAAGCAAUAUCUUUUAACAACGUGAUUUUUAAAAACAAUUUUGUCUACCUGUUUUCAGAGUCAUAAGUAAUGAAACUUUCUAAGUCAAAAGGCUGGUAAUUGAGUUAAAUCCCUAUUCAUUAUUUGUAUUUGUUUUCAUGUAUUGAAGAUCCUAAUGAUAAUUACACAUUAGUUAUGUUAGUAAUCUUAUAAACAGAAUAUUGCACUUUUGGUAAUAAGUUUUAUAAUACUCAUCGUUAACAUAAUCACACCCAAAAAAAUGCGAGGAGCAAGUAAUUUGGAGUAUUCAAUUGCUGCUUUUACUGUGAACAUUUCCUUCAUUUUUGGGCAAGUCAUUUUUGGCACCAUAAAGGUCAGUGUUCUGUCUCGCAAUGUUGUAUCAUCUGAUAGAGGAGACUUAAGAGCAUCUUGCAAUAUCAAAAAAAUUGAUCAUUAAACGAGUGUUACACCUC